rnacentral:rRNA from 1 species
UACGUAGGGUGCAAGCGUUGUCCGGAAUUAUUGGGCGUAAAGAGCUCGUAGGCGGUUUGUCGCGUCUGCCGUGAAAGUCCGGGGCUCAACUCCGGAUCUGCGGUGGGUACGGGCAGACUAGUGUGAUGUAGGGGAGACUGGAAUUCCUGGUGUAGCGGUGAAAUGCGCAGAUAUCAGGAGGAACACCGAUGGCGAAGGCAGGUCUCUGGGCAUUAACUGACGCUGAGGAGCGAAAGCAUGGGGAGCGAACAGG